GCGCGAUCUUGGCUCACUGCAACCUCCGCCUCUCGGCUGAUUCUCCUGCCUCAGCCUCCCGAGUAGCUGUGACUACAGGUGCACAGCACCACAGCUGGCUAAUUUUUGUAUUUUUAGUAGCGAUGGGGUUUCACCAUAUUGGUUAGUCUGGUCUUGAACUCCUGACCUCAUGAUCUGCCUGCCUCGGCUUCCCAAAGUGUUGGGAUUAUGGGCAUGAGCCACCGCGCCAGGCCUUUUUAAACACUUUGUAGAGACGGGGUUCCACUGUGUUGCUCAGGCUGUCCUCGUACUCCUAGGCUCAAGUAAUCCUCCUGCCUUGGCCUCCUGAGUAGCUGAGACUUUGGGUUUGUGCUACCAUGCCUAGCUAAUUUUUUUUUUAAUUUUUAGUAGAGACAAGGUCUUGCUAUGUUGCUCAGGCUGGUCUCUAACUCCUGGACUCAAGCCGUCCUCCCACCUCAGACUCCCAAAGUGCUGGGAUUACAGAUGUGAGCCACCACAACUGGCCAGUCCUUUAGUCUUUACCCCUCCUCCUUUGACCUCAGAACUGACUAUUGCCAAGUUUGUCCUGCAGAUACCUUCCCUCCAAGCAAUUGCUGCAUAUUCAUCAUCCUCACCUUCACUUCCAUUUUUAGGGCACUGUGUGCUCAGAACUUUAUACAUGGCUUUUUUUGUUUGUUUUUGAGAUGGAGUCUUGUUCUGUCGCCCAGACUGGAGUGCAGUGGCAUGAUCUCAGC
rnacentral:lncRNA from 1 species